UACGUAGGGGGCAAGCGUUAUCCGGAAUUACUGGGUGUAAAGGGUGAGUAGGCGGCAUGGUAAGCCAGAUGUGAAAGCCUUGGGCUUAACCCGAGGAUUGCAUUUGGAACUAUCAAGCUAGAGUACAGGAGAGGAAAGCGGAAUUCCUAGUGUAGCGGUGAAAUGCGUAGAUAUUGGGAAGAACACCAGUGGCGAAGGCGGCUUUCUGGACUGAAACUGACGCUGAGGCACGAAAGCGUGGUGAGCGAACAGG
rnacentral:rRNA from 1 species